GUCAGAAACUGCAAGUGGCUUAGCUGGGUACUUCUGGCUGAGCCUCUCAGAGGCUGCAGUCUAGCAGUUGGCCAGGGCUGUGGUCAUCUGAAGGCUGGACUGGGGCUGGAGGAUCUGCUGCCAAGGUGGCACAUUCACAGGGCUAUUGGCAGGAGGCCUCAGUUCCUCACUAUGUGGAUUUCUCCACCCAGCCUCCCCUCACGUGAGUGAUCCAAGGGAGAGCAAACAAAGGGGAAGCUGUGGUGCCUUUUCUGACGAGGCUCUGCACUUCCAUACCAUCACUUCUCUUUAUUCUGGUCCUUAGAAUUGAGUCACAAAGUCAAGGGGAAUGGGAUUAGGUGCCACCUCUUGUAGGGAAGAGUAAGAAUUUGUAAGCAUAGUUCGUGAUUUUUUGUGGGAAGUAGGGAAGAGUGCUUCAGGCAGAAGUAACCACAGGUGCAAAGGCCCUGAGGUAGGAACACACAUAUUAGCAUAUUCAAAGGAGAGCAAGAGGCCAGGGUGGCUGCAGUUGGUGAGCAAGGGGGAGAGUAGGAGAGGAGGUCAGAGAGGAAAGGCAUGUGCAGGGCCAAGGGCACCAGGUUGUGCAGGGCCUUUAAGUAGGUGGGAAGCCUUUGAAUGGUUUUUGAGCUGAUGUGAUGAGCUUUGACAGUGAUGUGAUCUGAUUUCUUUUAAAAAAGAAAUUGGUGGCUGUUGCAGUAAGAAUAGCCCAAGGAGGAGCCAGGAUGGAUGGGAAGAGGCCAGUUAGGAGGCUGUGGUAACAACCCAGGAGUUAUGUCUGUAGCUUGUGUAUGAAGGUGAUGAAAGGGAUGAGACUUUGGAUAUAUCUUGAAGAUAGAGUCAAUGGGAUUUUCCAUGAACCACAUGUGGGUUUUGAUUCCAAGGUUUUGGAUCUGAGCAAGUGGAAGAAUGGUUCUGGCAUGAGCAAGAUGGGGAAUCCUAAGAGUGGGACAAGUUUGAGAGGAGGAGCUUCAGAGUCCAUUUGGGGACAUGUUAAUUUUGUCCAUUAGACAUCCGAGUAGAGAAGCUGAGUAGGCAAUUGAAUAUGGAGGCUUGGAGUUCAGGAAUUCGGAAGGAAUACUUUCCUGUGGUCUGUGAGUGACAUUACAAAAUUGAGGAGGCUGGGCUCCCUCUCUGGAAGAGUAACAAUUAGUCCUUUGGAGGGUUCUAAACACACAAAGCAAGGGAGGGGCUGGUGCCAACCAAGUGCAGUUUUCAGAUGUUUCUGGGGUGCAGAGCACAGCUAGUGCGGCUGGGAGGCAUGAGUUUCACCCAGAGCAGGGGGCUUCUGCUGCUCUGUUCCCAAAACAGUGCCCUAAGGAACACAUAUCUUUCACUUCAACAAGACAGGCCACGUAUUUCUUCCCAGGGCACUGCCAACCCUGAGAAGAAACUCAGGGCAAGUGGAUUGACCUGCAGAAUUCAGUGGCACCAUUUUUCAGAAUUCAUAAGAUGGCAGAAAGACAAUCAGCUAAUCAAGUCUGCCAACUUCUAGGUCUCUUUUCUCUUUUGGUCUCUUUCUAAUUCUGCCCCAAAUUAAUCUUAGCACCCAGAAGCACACAUUUCCCUGCUUCCAAUUUCUGAUGUUUUCUGAGCCCCAGCUGGGCUUGGUUUAUAGGAAUUUAUUCUUGAGCGCUCAGUCUUGGGUCCAUGUUUCAACACAUAUUUCCAGGACUCCCAAUGACUCCUCUGAACCAACCUGGGCCCCAUCCAGCUGUAUAACCCUGAAAAGGGUGUACCAAAGUCCCUGGGAUAUUUUCCUCCUCCCUAACCCCCAGGUCGGACUUAGACCCAGGGGCUUCAGAGACAUAUCAGGAGUGCAAGUAGAGGCUGACUAAUUUGGAAAGCUUGAAUUAAGGGUUUAGACUGGCUCCCUUAGCUGAUCCUAGUGCAAAGGCUAAUCUUUUGCAGAGUCAUUUUAUGGCGUGAGAUGGUGCUGUUGAUUUUGCACAGUUAAUAACAGCUCAGCCUGAGUGCUGCUAGCCUUAGCCAAGGGUGUAGAAUGCAAGCAGUUGUUUCAGCGAAAGUAAGAAUUUGCUGGGAGCACACUUGGCUUUUCUGAAGAGGCCUCUGCACUGCCAAGGGAGAAAGACCCCCCCUCAACAGUGGCCACAGCAUCUGGUCUGUGGCUAGAGGAGACCAACGUGUUGAUAUUAAGAGUUCUUUGGAAAAGUACUGUCUCUUCACUCAUUCACUGCUGACUGGAUCCCAAAGAAUGCACUGUCUCCCCAGCAUGCAGAAAGGGGAUGAAUCAAACUGAGUUUAGAUCCUGGCUUUGUCACUUACCAGCUGUGUGACCUGGGGCAAGUAAACAUCUUUUCUGUAUCUUAGUGUUCUCAUCUGUAAUGUGAGAAUAACCAGACCUACCUCGAAGGAUGUCUUGCUUGAAGAGUAAAUAUCUGGCACAUGGAGAGUGAUCAAUAAAUGGAUUUCUCCUUAACUACUACUCGUCUAGCUACACUCAUCUCAUCUUCCACCUGUGGCUCAGGAAGCUUGAGCUGAUGAAUCCAUGGAGACUGUAAAGAAAUAGCAGGGGAGGUCGAUCAGGGUGCUCACUGAGAGCAAACUGUGGCUCUGUUGAUUUCUGAUGCCCAGUUGGCAAUGGUUGGAGUUCCCAGCCUGCCAGCUCAGCUGUUUCUCCCUAUAGCGCAUCUCUCAGUUAUUUCUAGGAGUUCUUAAAGGUGUGCAUCGCAUCAUCUCAAAAACCAGCCCGUCCAACUUGUGUUAUCUGCCCUGUUGAUCUACCUUUGUUUUCCCAAGGUCUGCAGCCUCCAAAGCUUCUGAAAUGGGACUUGCUGCUGCUGGUAUCUUUAGAGGGGCAUGUGGUAUCCUGCCAAGGGUGAUUCCUUAGCCUGUCAGUGGCCCAGGGCUCAGGAUUCUACCUGCCUCACAUCUCCUGGAUCCAUCUGCAUGUCUUGGCCCAAUCUCCAUAUCCUCGGUUCUGGCCCCUCCACUACCUGGUUGCCACUGAUGAUUCCAAGGAUUCAGAUCAGCUCACAGUGCUCCAAAAAUAUAGCAAAGUGAAACAAAUGUGCAAAUAAAUGAUAAAAACAAAAGAAGAAAAAGAAAGAAAAGACUUAUUGUAUAUCCUACCUCCUUCAAACAGCUUGCUGUGAUGUGCAUGGUGGUGUGGGAACCUUCUGAUGUCAUACAUACAGGUAACUUACCUAGUUUUGGAUCAGGCAUGGAAACUUGUCUGAGACACUUGGAGAUGACUCCCAAAAUGGUCUGACCCAGAAAUCCAGAAAGGGGCCAUCUGACUGUCCCAGGGUGCUGUACAUGGGGAACAUGCCACCUGGCUGGGGAUCCAGGGAGCAAGGGUCUUCCUGGGUGUGGCAGGUCAUCUCCUCACAGUAACACACGAACACUUGACUUCUCCCACAAAAACUUCUGGCCUAAAAAAUUAAUCAAUACUUAUCUAAACACCUGAGAGCCGAGAGUCUUUGAUAAAUUAAAAGGCAGUUUGGCAGUAAGCCACCUCCUGAAUGCCCCAGAUUUUCAUAAAAGGCCCUUUGUGGAAGCCACAGAAUGCAGGUAAAGCUAGGAUUUGAGGCGGUGCUGAUUGAGAGUUUCCUUCGCCUUCUGUCUUGAUUGGAAACAGCCUGAAGCCCUCACCAGAAGCCAGAGGCAGAUGCUGGUGCCAUGCUUCUUGUACAGUCUGCAGAACUGUGAGCCAAAUAAACCUCUUUUCUUUAUAAAUUACCCAGCCUCGGGUAUUCCUUUAUAGUAACACAAACACACUAAGACAAUACCAAUUCAGAAUUCAGGCCUUCUCAUCAACAAAUCUUUCCUCUUCCAACCACCUCAGCCAACACCUCCUACCAGCUCACC
rnacentral:lncRNA from 1 species